CACGUAGUUAGCCGUGGCUUCCUGAUUAGGUACCGUCAAGAUGUGCACAGUUACUUACACAUUUGUUCUUCCCUAAUAACAGAGUUUUACGAGCCGAAACCCUUCAUCACUCACGCGGCGUUGCUCCGUCAGGCUUUCGCCCAUUGCGGAAGAUUCCCUACUGCUGCCUCCCGUAGGAGUCUGGACCGUGUCUCAGUUCCAGUGUGGCCGAUCACCCUCUCAGGUCGGCUACGUAUCGUCGCCUUGGUAAGCCGUUACCUUACCAACUAGCUAAUACGGCGCGGGUCCAUCUAUAAGUGAUAGCAAAACCAUCUUUCACUUUAGAACCAUGCGGUUCUAAAUGUUAUCCGGUAUUAGCUCCGGUUUCCCGAAGUUAUCCCAGUCUUAUAGGUAGGUUACCCACGUGUUACUCACCCGUCCGCCGCUAACUUCAAAGGAGCAAGCUCCUUAUCUGUUCGCUCGACUUGCAUGUAUUAGGCACGCCGCCAGCGUUCAUCCUGAGCCAGGAUCAAACUCU
rnacentral:rRNA from 1 species